CGCGUAGGUGGCGGCAUAAGGCUGUGGUGAAAGUCCGGGGCUCAACCCCGGAUCGGCCGCGGCGACUGUGUCGCUCGGGUACUGUAGAGGCAGAUGGAAUUCCGGGUGUAGCGGUGGAAUGCGUAGAGAUCCGGAAGAACACCAGUGGCGAAGGCGGUCUGCUGGGCAGUGGGCUCGAAAGGGCCCUUCAACCGACACUGAGGCGCGACAGCGGUGGGGAGACAAACA
rnacentral:rRNA from 1 species